UACGUAGGGUGCGAGCGUUAAUCGGAAUUACUGGGCGUAAAGCGUGCGCAGGCGGUGAUGUAAGACAGGUGUGAAAUCCCCGGGCUUAACCUGGGAACUGCAUUUGUGACUGCAUCGCUGGAGUGCGGCAGAGGGGGAUGGAAUUCCGCGUGUAGCAGUGAAAUGCGUAGAUAUGCGGAGGAAAACCGAUGGCGAAGGCAAUCCCCUGGGCCUGCACUGACGCUCAUGCACGAAAGCGUGGGGAGCAAACAGG
rnacentral:rRNA from 1 species